UACAGAGGGGGCAAGCGUUAUUCGGAAUUAUUGGGCGUAAAGGGCGCGUAGGCGGCCUGGCAAGUGGAAGGUGAAAUCCCUCGGCUUAACCGAGGAACUGCCCUCCAAACUGCUUGGCUUGAGUCGGGGAGAGGUGAGUGGAAUUCCCAGUGUAGCGGUGAAAUGCGUAGAUAUCAGGAAGAACACCCGUGGCGAAAGCGGUUCUCUGGAACGGUACUGACGCUGAGACGCGAAAGCGUGGGGAGCGAACAGG
rnacentral:rRNA from 1 species